rnacentral:lncRNA from 1 species
UUAAUAUUUGUUUCGUUGUCCCAAUGGGUAUUGGUGAUGACAAAACAUCUUUUGCGUGAGAUUUCUUUAAUAACGCCUAUGUAGACUUUAGAUGAAGUGACUAUCAUUGAAGUUCUUAAGUGUUGGGUCAUAGUGAUUUUAGCUAGAGUUUAAUCUGGUAAAUUUAAUCAAUCAUUUCGGUUACACCUAGGUAGACCAUUAUGAUCUCCAGUAAUUGUUCAUUUCUACCUCCUACGUCCUGCUACAAAGCCACA